UGAUACGUCAACCGCUAUUGAGCUUGGAAACCAGGAUUCCGGGAAGUUCGCGUGUUUCCCAAAACCGUGUGACAAUAAGCCAACUUCUGAAGCUGUAAUUUUGAAAUUAAUUCAUCAGUGACUGGAAGCACCGUUUGUCCGCGUUAAGCGUAGACGCGACACGUUCCGUUACCACGAACCUAGAUUUUCAAGUGCCUCGAAACAUUUAGAACAAAUCUUAACAGCAUUUGUUUUGAAAUGAAGAAUAUAGGGUUAUCAGAUUUUUAUCAAUGCCUUUUCGACACUUAAUAUUUAUAUUUAAGGGAAGGAAUACACUGUGUUUGUUAUAAUCUGUAUUCAGUGACGUUUCGGAAACUAAACUGUUUUGAAGAUUUCUCAAGUAUUCUUAGUUACCAAUGUUCAAUGAAAGAAAUAAUUACAAACAGUUGCAAAUGAAUGAAUGGAAACAUCAAAAUACUCUAUAAAACAAAGAAUAAUACGUGUCGUUUUACAAGACAUUCAAACAGCAGGUUUCAAAUGUUCAAUAACAAUCCCACUGGGAAAACAAAAC